rnacentral:rRNA from 1 species
AGACGUAGGGGGCGAGCGUUGUCCGGAAUUACUGGGCGUAAAGGGCGCGUAGGCGGCAAGGUAAGUUAGAUGUGAAAACUCAGAGCUUAACUCCGAGAUUGCAUCUAAAACUGCCUAGCUUGAGUGCAUUAGAGGAGAGCGGAAUUCCUAGUGUAGCGGUGAAAUGCGUAGAUAUUAGGAAGAACACCAGUGGCGAAGGCGGCUCUCUGGGAUGUAACUGACGCUGAGGCGCGAAAGCUGGGGGAGCGAACGGGAUUAGAUACCCCGGUAGUCCCAGCCGUAAACGAUGGUCACUAGGUGUAGGAGGUAUCGACCCCUUCUGUGCCGCAGCAAACGCAAUAAGUGACCCGCCUGGGGAGUACGGCCGCAAGGCUAAA